rnacentral:rRNA from 1 species
UACGUAGGGUGCAAGCGUUAAUCGGAAUUACUGGGCAUAAAGCGUGCGCAGGCGGUUAUGUAAGACAGAUGUGAAAUCCCCGGGCUUAACCUGGGAACUGCAUUUGUGACUGCAUAGCUAGAGUACGGUAGAGGGGGAUGGAAUUCCGCGUGUAGCAGUGAAAUGCGUAGAUAUGCGGAGGAACACCGAUGGCGAAGGCAAUCCCCUGGACCUGUACUGACGCUCAUGCACGAAAGCGUGGGGAGCAAACAGG